rnacentral:tRNA from 1 species
GGGCGACUAGUCUAGUGGUCAGGACGCUUCGUUGUGGCAGUUGUAUUUCCGAAGAAACCCAGGUUCGAUUCCUGGGUCGCCCA